UACGUAGGGUGCAAGCGUUAAUCGGAAUUACUGGGCGUAAAGCGUGCGCAGGCGGUUCGUUGUGUCGGUGGUGAAAGCCCCGGGCUUAACCUGGGAAUGGCCAUGGAAACUGGCGAACUGGAGUGUGGCAGAGGGGGGUGGAAUUCCACGUGUAGCAGUGAAAUGCGUAGAGAUGUGGAGGAACACCGAUGGCGAAGGCAGCCCCCUGGGUCAACACUGACGCUCAUGCACGAAAGCGUGGGGAGCAAACAGG
rnacentral:rRNA from 1 species